rnacentral:rRNA from 1 species
UACAGAGGGGGCAAGCGUUGUUCGGAAUUACUGGGCGUAAAGGGCGCGUAGGCGGCCUUCUAAGUCGAACGUGAAAUCCCCGGGCUCAACCCGGGAACUGCGUCCGAUACUGGAGGGCUUGAAUCCGGGAGAGGGAUGUGGAAUUCCAGGUGUAGCGGUGAAAUGCGUAGAUAUCUGGAGGAACACCGGUGGCGAAGGCGGCAUCCUGGACCGGCAUUGACGCUGAGGCGCGAAAGCCAGGGGAGCGAACGGG